rnacentral:rRNA from 1 species
GACGAACGCUGGCGGCGUGCCUAAUACAUGCAAGUCGAGCGGACGGAUGGGAGCUUGCUCCCAGACCGUCAGCGGCGGGCGGGUGAGUAACACGUGGGCAACCUGCCUGUAAGACUGGGAUAACUCCGGGAAACCGGGGCUAAUACCGGAUAACUCUUUCCCUCACAUGAGGGAAAGCUGAAAGAUGGCAUCUCGCUAUCACUUACAGAUGGGCCCGCGGCGCAUUAGCUAGUUGGUGAGGUAACGGCUCACCAAGGCGACGAUGCGUAGCCGACCUGAGAGGGUGAUCGGCCACACUGGGACUGAGACACGGCCCAGACUCCUACGGGAGGCAGCAGUAGGGAAUCUUCCGCAAUGGACGAAAGUCUGACGGAGCAACGCCGCGUGAGUGAUGAAGGUUUUCGGAUCGUAAAACUCUGUUGUCUGGGAAGAACAAGUACCGGAGUAACUGCCGGUACCUUGACGGUACCUGACCAGAAAGCCACGGCUAACUACGUG